rnacentral:rRNA from 1 species
CAUACCAGCAGUGGAAACUGGGCGACUAGAGUGCGGUAGGGGUCAGGAGAAUUCCCAGUGUAGCGGUGAAAUGCGUAGAUAUUGGGAAGAACACCAGCGGCGAAAGCGCGUGACUGGGCCAUUACUGACACUCAUGGACGAAAGCUAAGGGAGCGAAAGGGAUUAGAUACCCCUGUAGUCCUAGCCGUAAACGAUGGACACUAGGUGUUGCCCGAUCGACCCGGGCAGUGCCGUAGCUAACGCGCUAAGUGUCCCGCCUGGGGAGUACGCACGCAAGUGUGAAACUCAAAGGAAUUGACGGGGGCCCGCACAAGCGGUGGAGUAUGUGGUUUAAUUCGAUGCAACGCGAAGAACCUUACCAGGACUUGACAUGUCGCGAAUCCCCUUGACAGGGGGGAGUGCCUACGGGAGCGCGAGCACAGGUGGUGCAUGGCUGUCGUCAGCUCGUGUCGUGAGAUGUUGGGUUAAGUCCCGCAACGAGCGCAACCCACGUUUCUAGUUGCCAGCAUUCAGUUGGGCACUUUAGAGAGACUGCCGGUGACAAACCGGAGGAAGGUGUGGAUGACGUCAAGUCAGCAUGCCCCUUACGUCCUGGGCUACACACGUACUACAAUGCUUCGGACAGAGGGUUGCCAGCCCGCGAGGGUGCGCUAAUCCCGUAAACCGAGGCUCAGUUCAGAUUGCAGGCUGCAACUCGCCUGCAUGAAGGCGGAAUCGCUAGUAAUCGCCGGUCAGCAUACGGCGGUGAUACGUUCCCGGGCCUUGUACACACCGCCCGUCACACCAUGGGAGUUGGCCACGCCCGAAGUUGUUACCCUAACCUUC